GGUGAAGAUAUGAUUUUUUAGUAAAAGGAGAAAUCCUGGUAUUUCAUCAGUAUCUAUAUAAUAAAUGUAGUUAUCGUCUUCUCCAUGCUUGUAUCAGUUGACUGGUCAGCCUGUACUGAUUGGAGGAACCAUGGGCACGUGUAGUUACGUUUUGACAGGAACGGAAAAGGGAAUGAACCAGACGUUCGGUACCACGUGUCACGGAGCAGUAAGUACAUGUAUUCUCAGCAGUAUUUUUACUUGAUUUGAAGGCAUGAUGACA